UUCCGGUUGAUCCUGCCGGAGCCACUGCUAUCAGAGUUCGAUUAAGCCAUGCGAGUCGAGAGGUGCAAGACCUCGGCAUACUGCUCAGUAACACGUGGACAACCUACCCUACGGAGGGGGAUAACCCCGGGAAACUGGGGAUAAUACCCCAUAGACUAUGGAUGCUGGAAUGCUCUGUAGCCGAAAGGUCCGCCGCCGUAGGAUGGGUCUGCGGCCGAUUAGGUUGUUGUUGGGGUAACGGCCCAACAAGCCUGUAAUCGGUACGGGUUGUGGGAGCAAGAGCCCGGAGAUGGAUUCUGAGACACGAAUCCAGGCCCUACGGGGCGCAGCAGGCGCGAAAACUUUACAAUGCGGGAAACCGUGAUAAGGGAACUCUGAGUGCCCGUAAAAUCGGGCUGUCCAUCAGUUUAAAUAACUGGUGAAGAAAGGGCCGGGCAAGACCGGUGCCAGCCGCCGCGGUAAUACCGGCGGCUCGAGUGGUGGCCACUAUUACUGGGCUUAAAGCGUUCGUAGCUGGUUUGUUAAGUCUCUGGGGAAAUCUUCCGGCUUAACCGGAAGGCGUCUCAGGGAUACUGGCAGACUAGGGACCGGAAGAGGUGAGAGGUACUCCAGGGGUAGGAGUGAAAUCCUGUA
rnacentral:rRNA from 1 species